rnacentral:rRNA from 1 species
UACGGAGGGUGCGAGCGUUGUCCGGAAUUACUGGGCGUAAAGUGUGCGCAGGCGGCUGAGCAAGUCGAGUGUGAAAGCCCCGAGCUUAACUUGGGAAUUGCGCUCGAAACUACUUGGCUCGAGUGUGGCAGAGGAAGGUGGAAUUCCACGUGUAGCGGUGAAAUGCGUAGAGAUGUGGAGGAACACCGAUGGCGAAGGCAGCCUUCUGGGCCAACACUGACGCUCAUGCACGAAAGCGUGGGGAGCAAACAGG